GUUUCCGGUUGCCAAUUGGAAAUUAAAUCAGCGAAAAAAAUGGAUCGCUGCUGUUAAAAGGCAAAAUAUUGAUGGAUCGUUAUGGUCUCCAAAACCUAUGGAUGUUAUAUGCAGUGAACACUUCAUUAGCGGUGAAAAAUCAGAUAUUGAAUCAAGUCCCAACUUCGCUCCAACUAUUUUUCCAUCAGCUUAUAGACGACGUAAAGUCAACGAAUCUGCCGUUUUGAAUAGACACAAACGCUUCAUGGAGAGAAGAAUAAUGAAAAAGUCAUUAUCGUCAACGGCUGAGAUACAUCCGGUGAUGAAUUUUGUAGAACCGCCUGAAAUAGCUGAAGGUGAUCAAAAUAAUACAUUCAUGAAUCAAACGGUGGAGCAGGCAUGUGAAGCGAAUAUAUAUUUUACCUCCAAUGUUUCAUCAAAAACAUUCAU